GCUGUUCUCAGCUUUUUUCUCUCCUCUCCUCCACCCCCGCCUCCCCCGAAAAAAGGCAGUGCUUUCUCUUAGGCUCUUAAAAAUGAUUCAGAAUUUUAACCAUCUGCUGUACCCGGAGCUCUUCGCUGGUGCUGCACAGCUGAAAUUUUGCAAAGGGAAGAAAUAGCAAAGCUUUCCAAAGCAGAAAACUGUUUGUAAGCUUGCAAAAUAUUUUAGGGAAUCCUUUCUUUGAAGAAAGAUUCUAUUUAAUUGCCGAUUGAGAAGGCGGUAUUAACAGAACUGAAACGUUUUUAGCCUAUUGUGGAUUUUUUGCUACAAGAGACACAGGUGUACUGCUUCAUCACAGCUUUGCAAAUGUAGCGUGAGCAGUCGGAGACUCGGGAAGUGUACAAUUAUGGGAGCUGAUCAUUUUUGUAAUGCUGUGGUUUUUUAUGUCGAAGCUCGCUCUCGAAGUGUAGAUGUAGCUGAAUGCAGCAAAGGUUUCCCUUUGCCAGCUGCGUGUGUUUAUAUGGGAGUAAAAUUAUUUAAUGAGCAAUAUGGGGACUGGCAGAGGAACCGUGUAACUACCACGGCCUCCUGAACUACCACAGUAUGUCCAGUGCACAAAGGGAGACUAUUCCUAAAUAAUAAGGGAUGAGGAAAAGGCUUUCGAAGUGGUGAAGCUUAAAGGAGAAAGUAGAAGGAGUCUUUAAUGUGGAAUCCUUACUUCUCAUAGAUUAUAUUAACUGUUUGAAUGCCAUUAACAGCAAAUUAAAUAUUUCAGAUGUUCAUAAACCAGAAUUUAGUAUUUGUUCGGAGUAAGAGCUCAGAAAAUUGUGAGUUAUUGGGUCAUAAUUCAUCUACAUAUUUAAGAUCAAUUAGCAAAUUAUAGGAAAAAGAGUGAAAUAUUUGAGGCAUGCAGUUCCUUUGAAAAUGCAGUUUGGAUUUUCUCUUUUAAGAUUUGUCAAUACCAGGUAGUUACCUCAAGUCACUAGUUAUUGUUUGUAACUGUGAGGACUGUAUAUUCUUUAAAUGAAACCUCUACAAAUAAAUAUUAAGAAAAGCAUUUACUUUCUGAAGCCAAUGUAGAGGCCCAGCUAAAUCUUUUCAUUCAAUUUAAAUUUAUUUUUAAAGGCUAUAUUACACUGAAGAUGUCUCAUAGUUUACAUACAUUUUCUUAUUUGUAAAGCUGAAGAUUGGGGCUGUAUUUUGUCACCUGUUGCCUACACAACAAAAGGGAUGGGGAGGAAAGAAGAUUUACUGAUCAUGCAAGCUUUUGCAGGGAACUUGUUCAUCAUUUCAUCACUUUGAUUGGUGAAAUCCAGCGACUUUUUUCCCUCUGCUUUUAGGUGCCUCAGAAAAUUGUACAAUAUGUGUGCAGAGAAGCAUAAUGAGGUGUUUAGUCACAGUUUGGAUGUGGAAUUGUAGAAAACAGUGCAGGAACUGUGGGCUGGAUUUUCAAGGGAAUAGUCCUUGUAAUCCAAGGCUGCCUGAAUCCCAAACUGGUAUCCAGGCAAUAGCGGCACUAAAUUCUCUGUUUGCUUUUUGUUAGGCUCUCGUCUGCUGAACAUUUUUCUUUUCUUGCAAGGACUGCAGCAUGGCUGGGCCUUUUGGUGGUGGGGUUUGUUGGUUUGGUUUAGGGUUUUGUUUUGUUUUGUUUCUUCUGUUAACCCUUGGAUUUCUGUUCGCUCCCUUUAUUGCAGAGCUUCUCUGUUAAAUAGGAAUGCAGACAGUCUGGAGUUAUUUUUUUUUCAGUGCCUGACCUGGAAAGUAUUUAAUGGUCAGUGGAAAAAAAUGAGGAAGAGGAGGGUGUGGCUGCUGCUGGACCAGCAAAGGGUCCCUGGCUUGCAGGGAUGUGGUCCCAAAUCGGCACAAAAUGAAGACUUCUUUUAGGAAAUGUAUGUUGAUCUUCUGAAGCUGAAUCCUCAGGCAUUUGCGGCCAGUCGUUGCAGCCUGGUCUAGCUCUGGCCCUUGGAUGGGCAUCGCUCACGGCAGAGCUGCUGCAGCACACCGUGGAUUCAGCAUGCAGAGCCCUCAUCUCCAGCAGCCAGGUGGAACGGACCGCUGGGAAAAGGGAGUUUGGUGUGUGAUGGCAAGAUUCACCAGUGCCCCUUCCACCAUUGUGUAUCAGCCAGAUGUACUCACCUUGACAGGAGUGUAAAAUUUACAGCAGAAAUUACUUUAAGACUGGAAAAGCUCUUACUUAACUGAACCAUCAUUCAAAAUGCAUUAUGAAAGUCACCAAGGAGAAGUUUUCCAUCUCACUGUCUGCAGGACUCCUGCAGGUCUUCUGAAGCUUAAGGAUGCCCCUAAAAAGAAAAAGCAGUAAUCUGGCAAAAUGAACUCAGAACACACAAAGAGAAGCCACUGGAGACUAAUCUGCAAGGUAUUCAGAUUCUGCUACCAAACUGCUUCUGGGACUUCAUGCGGUUUGCUUCAUCUGAGAGAACCUCAGGUGUUGCUGUUGAGCAGAAAUUGGAAGGAAACUGUAAAGGUGAAUAGACUGAGAAAAUGGUCCUGCCCAUCAUCACAGGAAACCAUAAACCUCACCACUGUGGGACAGGAGUGACCAGCCAUGACCAUUUUUGCUACCUUAGGAACAUCCCCAUUCACUCUAUUUUUCAGAUAAGAAACAGAAAGAAUGACUUACUAGGGAACCGAGUUAAAAACAAAAGAAGUGAAGAUUGGUCAUCUCUGCAGAGGAAAUUACAAGAAAAAACUAUUGAUGCGUCUUCCUGACAGGUCUUUCUCAGAAGAAACAGCUGCAUAAUGUGGAAUCAGUUGUGUGAAAUUCUGUUGGCAAGGCCUUUGACUUUCAACUUCUGCUGGAUCCAGCUGAGUGAUCAAAGAGAGAACUUUUGCAGCAGAGCUGCUCCAUCCCUCUGAUCUGUGAUGUGUCCAGUUUGGGAGCAAGAGAGACACCCAGCAGUGUGAGACCUCCCAUACUCUGCCCCAGGCAGCACCACCAGGCUCCUCAGAGCUGGUCCACAUGGUGAGCACAGAGAAGCUGGGAGAGCUGGCUCUGUCCAGGCAGGGAAGGGCACCACAGAAGGGAGACCUGCAGUGCUGCCAGCAGCUGCCUGAUCACACGGUGGAGCUGGUCACAGCUGGAGCCCAGCUCUUCUCAGAGCUGCACAGCAAUAGAACAAGGGCUGACAGCCACAAGUUGGAACAAAGGAAAUUCCAGACAGAUACAAGGGAAAUCUUUUAUCCAAAGAAUGGUCAAAGGCUGGAACAGGUGCCCAGAGAGGUUGUGGGUUCUCCAUUCUUAGAGGUAUCCAAGAUGCAAUUGGGUGUGUGCCUCAGCAACCUGAUUAAUUAGACCUGCUUUGAACAGGAAAUUGUCUGGAUGCUGUCAGGGUCCCCUUCCAACAUGGAUUAUUCUGUCAUUCUUUGAUUCUUUCACAACAAGGAAUAAAAAAAAUAUUGCAUUUGGAUCACUGAAAGACCAAAAAGGAACAAAUUAAGUUCCUUAAGUGUGAUUAAUAAUACUGUACAUCUGCUCAUUCACCUUCUGGCAUCACAGAGUCAGGGGUUUAUGUAAUGAAUCAUAUGUAACCUCAGCAUUUUUCUGUAUGGCUCUGCCUAAAGGGAAAUCACAGUUUUACUACAUGAUAACAAAAUUCUUACUGAAUUCAAGAGACUGAAUUCUGCCAGCUUAAAUGCCAUCACUAGAGAGUUCUUUAAAGUCAGGUUUUAAUGUGGGGAGAACUUCAGAGUUCUGAGUUUUUCUGAAAGUGUAUUUCACAACAUCAGACUGCUUUAGCAGACACACAUUAAAUUAUGCUAGUUUUGGAAAUAAAUGAACAAACAAACAAAACGUAUUUCUUUCAGCUUUGUACCUGUGUUCCUGGAAGCAAAAAGUAUUUAACUGAGUUGCUGAAAAAAAAGAGGGAAAACUGUAUGAAAGAAAAGCUUCCCUAUGAUCACCAAGUAAGAAAAUAUUUCAAAGCUUUGGAAAAUGUUGGCCAGCUCUGACAUUUAGACAGCUCAUCUUACAGAGAAAGACUAUGUAAAAAAAUCGGAACUUCGUCAUAUGAGCUUGCUUACACCCUGAAAAAGCCUGGGGUUUUUACAGCCAGGAUAAAACAUAUAAACUGCAGUAUAAACAUACAGUGCCCUGGUUGGGGAUAUGUUCCUUUACUGCAUUUCUCGCAAGGGGGAAGGGGUUUUGACGUUGCUUAGGCUGGCUUUAUGCAAUGGCACUUGGCAGCAGAGCAUGUGGAGCCCUGGUACUGUUAUGUUUAGAUGAUAAAAAAUGUCCAGGAUAUGUUUCAAUAUGUUUCCUCUUCUUACCUAACCAGCCUGUUCUACUUCAUAAUGUAUAUGCUAGUGAUAACAACAUUUUUAAUUGUCUGGAUUAUGUGUGAGUAGAGAUAAUGAUAAAUUCAUGCUGGGGUCCACUUGGCCCAUAAAAAUUUUAUGCAACUCUGAGGAAAAGUUACUGUUAUUAAAGAACUAUUUUGGAAACCCAGGUGCCUAUUUCAACAGCCCAGCCUUAAUUCUUUCAUGGACUCAGUGUUUUGGAUGAGUGCAGGUGUACAUGUAAUUAUGAAUUUUAAAUGCUUUACAAAUAUUUAAGAACAAAAAAACUGCCUAUGCAGUAGAGGUUAAUUUCUGAAAAAUAAUGGCUCCAGAACCAUGUGGUUAUUUUCUACCCUGCCCUUCCAGAAGAACAGUCUGGAUCUAAGGAGUGUCUGUCACAUGUUAUUGCCAAUUCCAGUGUUUGGCAUUUGUGGUAAUUUUAUACUAAUAUUAAUAAAAUAUUUAUAUUUUUCUUCCUCAUAUGUUUUAGCCUUCAGAACUUGUUUUCUUGGCAUUUUUUUCUCUGUAGUCAUGAGGGAUUUUUACAUAUUUGUAGAGAAUCUGAUACAAUGUAUUUGUCCAGUAGCUGGAGCAUUAAAAAGCAAGAAGCAUAAAUCUUGCAGUUCUGAGGACUGAUAAUACUGCUUUUAGGAUUUGGGAAGACUUUUUUUUAAUGAAACAUUAAAAUGCUUGUAUGUGAAUCCAUUACAUGACAUACACCAUGGUUAGCAACAGCUUUUGUGUGUCAUGGCUCAGGUUCCCAUACACUCCUGACAGUUUAUGCAUAUUCAUGAGAUCCAUGACAUUUUCCUGCAUCUGCUCUUAUCACAGAUUUCGUUUCAAAGCAGCACUUCAUUGAUGUAGUACACUGACAUAUUUUACAUAUAAUUGCUUUUCCUCUGGUUGCAUGAUUAUUUUGUGACACCUAGUGGAUAAAUUGAUAGUGGUGCUGAGUUAAAUUGCCUCUGUUUUUUUUAUUAUUCUGAUAAAAGUUCUGGCCUGGAAAUUCAAUUCACAUCACAAACACAUAGACUGUCUUGCUUUCUAACUUUCUUCUCUUUUUUUUUUCUUCCUUCUAACUUUGCUCAUGGAAUGACUUCCUCAUAGGCAGGUGAACAAAUACCCAGCACCAGUCUUGAGAAAAUUCCAGGAGUCCCAAAAUAAUACAAGUUAGUAAAUGUUUGAAAAUGUCAUGGUAUUGUUUAGUCAGGCUCCCUACCUGUGCAGUCUGGGAUCUUCACAGGUAACUUUUUCUACUGUAUUAGCUUUUUUGAGGUGUCCUAGCAUGCAGUUCCAUUAGGAACAAAAUGUGCACUAUAUAAGGUUGUAAAAGUUGCAAAGUAGUACUUAUUACCCUAUGAAGACUCUUAGAAAUAUCUGUUCCUUCAUUCCAGAGAAUGAAGUCUGAUAAAUAAUUAAAAUUUCCUAUACACACAAAAAUAUUUUCAGAAUAUUUACAUCAAGAGUCUAGAAAUGCCUUAAAUGCAUGACCUACUUUCACAACCAAGAUAACUUGUGAAAUAUAUCUUAAUUUACAUGUCAUGGAUUCUGUGCCUAAAACUUAUUUCUGCAACAGGAAAGUAUUGAAAUACUGUCCAGAGUGUUUGCUGCAAAUGCUGUGAGAUAGAAAAACAGAUGCUUUUAUAUGGCUCUUAUCUUUUGUGUUGAUAAGAGAAGGGAAUCAAUUAUUUCACUUGCACCAAAUCUGCUUGCUGUAUUUCUCAGGUGAUACUAGUAAUGGGCAUGUUUCUGACUUCAGAGAAGGUAUAAUCUGCUGCUUUCAUGACAGAUGUUAAAUUCUGAAGUCUGUCAUCCUUGAGCAGGCACAAAACAAUAACUUACAUGAUAGCCAAGAUAGAAUUUGUAGAUUUUAAAUAGGAGCUAAAAGGAAGUGUAAGGCAGAUGAAUUUGGAGGUAAGAGGUUAUGUAUUUUUCAUAUGUGGAGAAUUGGAAUGGAGUUGCGCACAUGACAUGAAGGAAUUGAUUCUAAAGACCAUCUACAAGAUUUUAAGUUUCAGCUUCCUACUCUUCAGAGAAAAUGUGUUGCAUAUUUUGUCUCCCAAGAGGUUUCACAAUCAGAAAAUGUAAUACUGAACUGCGUUUUUAAUGCUGACUGACAAGGCACUCUUUCCCUGUGCUUUUCCUGGUUGCUCCUUGUAACAGUUCUCUUGUGACUUCCGUUUAUGUAAAAUUAGGGCCUUUAGCAGCAGCAUCAUGAAUAAUGGACACAGAGAGUCAAACACACCAUGGAGCUCUGGCAAAGAUCUGCUCGCUCUUUACCACCACUUCAGCCCACUCAGGAAUGUUUAACCAGAGAAAGCUUUAGGCUCAGGUACAAAAACUCACACUAGUGUCUAUCUAUGGAGAGCCCCAAUCACCUGAGAAAAGAGAAGGUUGUGUGGAGCUGAGCACAGGCAGUGCUGUGUGUCUGAGCCCCAAGCCUCAAGCCUGGAAUUCAUGAGGAAUUCUCUUUUGCCAGCGAGUGCCGUGUCGAUGGUGCUGCCCGCUCACCCCAAUGCUCCAAAAGCCUUCGCCCCCUCAGCACACAGGCACAGGUGGGCAGAAUGGCCCUGGUGUGGAAAUGGCAAUUUUCAGUGGUUCACCUUUGCUUUGUAAAGACUCAUGUAAAGCUGGGCUGGGUGUGUGUAUAAAUCCUCUUGGUAGCAUCAUUGGAAUGCUCUGGAUGGAAAACAACUGGUCAGAACAGAGGCAAAGUCAUUGUGACAAAGCACAAGUGUGUGCUUCUGAAAUCAUAACACAGCUUGAGACAGCAUCCCAUCCCAGGGUGAUAAUAAAGCUGUUGGAGUGCACAGGGAUCUGUACUGGUAACCUAAGAAAAACAGUCACUAAAAGGAGACAGGGAACUUGAUAACUGAGAGUGUCACUAGUGGCAAGGUCCUGGAGGUCCCCUUACAGAGACACAAAAAUGGCUAACAGGGUCAGGGACAACACUUGCUCUUGCAGUCUAUAGCUUCACACCCUCCCCAAGCCCCAAAAGUAACCAGAAACAAACUGCAGCUUGGGUUUGCAAUGCCUGUACAAAUGAUUUCUCUGUGUUAAUGCAUUUGGACUUCGAGGCCUCUGCUGGCUUUCUGUCAGGUUGAACCAAGCCCACUGGCUCAACCCCCAAAUGCAGUCCAGACUCCAGAACAUUGUUCUGCAAUAGAAAUUCAUUUUAGGCUUUUAACAAUAUUUAAAAAUAAACAUACUACAGAGAACAGUGGUUUCAUGCCAGCUUUCCAUACAAUGUUAUCCACAAUUUCAAAUGCUGCAGGCUCUAAAGUGGUCAUCACAAAUGGAACAGUUUGUAAAGAAUGUAUUUUGCUUGUCUGCCAUCAUAUAAAGCUCCUUCUUCAUGAACACCCAAGUAAUUUUAUCUUGUUUGUGGUGAUGGCAGAUGUAAGGAUGCAUUUAUGUAAAUACAGAAUUUUUGGCUAAAUCCAGGUGACACUAGCUUAUUCGGAGCUUUGACCUACUCCUGGCUCCCAGACCACUAAUUCAUUCUCUCCUACUUGUCAGCUGCUUGAUCUCACUAAGGGCUAAAAUUUAAAAUGAAAGCUUUAUAGGAGAAAGGCCAGAUGCCAUUUUCUGCCAACUAUAAUUAUUAGCAUGGUUGCAUUCUGCAGAAUGAAUUUUGGUUUCUUGUUGAGGCUUACCCUGACAGAGAUUCCUUCUUGGUGCUUAAUUGCAAUAGGAUUUGCGCAUGCUAGUUUAUUUAUUUUAAAGAAAAACAAUUUUCAAGGACCUGCAUCCAUUUCAGAGUGAAAAUUCAGUUUUCCCAAAAAGGUAUUAGUGGAUUGAGAUUGGGAAUGGUAUUUUUUAAAGAAGAUGUGACUCUAUUAAAUUUUUCUUAGCUUCUAUAAGGAACUGGAAAAAAUAGCACUUUCUCAGUGGUGUCACAUAGGUUAGGUGUGACACUGUAUGAAUUGCACAUACUAAAAAGCCAAAUCCACUUUACUUAAAUUCAGAUAGCUUAUUAAAGAUCCUCUGUGUAGUAAAGGUGUUUUCCAUCCAAAAAGAAUUAAAAAUAUCACUCAGAUAAUUGCUUGUGAAAUGUCUGAGUGUUUAGCUGGAGAGACUGGAAAACUGUGAUACUGACUGUUCUCUGUAUCACUGACUGUGCCCAGUUUUUAUUUUCACAGGGCUUUAGCGGGAGUGGGAAAGGUGCAGUUUUAGAGAGCUGGACAUCACAUAUCAAGUCAAAGAUGAGGGUGAUCAGUUUAAGAGUCCAGUUUUGUGUUCAGAGAUGUUAAGGCAAAUCCAGGUGAUGUCAGCCAAGUUAGGUGAGCUCAGCUCUUUCAGAUAUAAGGUACAUUGCUCAACAUCCUAAAAUUAGUGAAUAUUUGUGGGAGUUGUCAUUAACAUUUAAUUUUUGUGUGAUCUGCAUGAAUGCAGUCCUUCCAGGAGCAUGGAGAUAACUGAGGAAUGUUUAGGAAAUACUGUAAGAGAGGUGUUCUAUGCCCCUUUUUACUCUUGCUGUCUUCAUCUGCCAAGAGAAAAUAAACCUGACACAUUCUCUUUGCUCUUUUCCUAAUAAACACCAAUCCCUAAUUUGUCACAGUUUCAUCCCCUCUUGCUGGGUUCAUUUCCCGGAUAAUCCAGCCCUUGCACUUUUCUUUUUACACAUGGUAAGAUAGCAACAGUACCUGUAACAUUUGUUUUACAUAAAGUAUACCUCACUUACCAGAUAG